GAAUACUUUUUAUCUUAGCAUAUCAGAUCUAUGAAGUGAACUACGACU
rnacentral:tRNA from 1 species